GACGAACGCUGGCGGCGUGCCUAAUACAUGCAAGUCGAACGAGAGCGACCGGUGCUUGCACUGGUCAAUCUAGUGGCGAACGGGUGAGUAACACGUGGGUAACCUGCUCAUCAGAGGGGGAUAACAUCCGGAAACGGAUGCUAAAACCGCAUAGGUCUUCGAGCCGCAUGGCUUGAAGAGGAAAAGAGGCGCAAGCUUCUGCUGAUGGAUGGACCCGCGGUGCAUUAGCUAGUUGGUGAGGUAACGGCUCACCAAGGCCGUGAUGCAUAGCCGACCUGAGAGGGUGAUCGGCCACAUUGGGACUGAGACACGGCCCAAACUCCUACGGGAGGCAGCAGUAGGGAAUCUUCCGCAGAGGACGCAAGUCUGACGGAGCAACGCCGCGUGAGUGAAGAAGGUUUUCGGAUCGUAAAACUCUGUUGUUAGAGAAGAACAAGUGCUAGAGUAACUGUUAGCGCCUUGACGGUAUCUAACCAGAAAGCCACGGCUAACUACGUG
rnacentral:rRNA from 1 species